AUUGAACGCUGGCGGCAUGCCUUACACAUGCAAGUCGAACGGCAGCACGGGUGCUUGCACCUGGUGGCGAGUGGCGAACGGGUGAGUAAUAUAUCGGAACGUACCUUAUUGUGGGGGAUAACGCAGCGAAAGCUGUGCUAAUACCGCAUAAUCCCUAAGGGGGAAAGCGGGGGACCGUAAGGCCUCGCGCAAUGUGAGCGGCCGAUACCUGAUUAGCUAGUUGGUGAGGUAAAGGCUCACCAAGGCAACGAUCAGUAGCUGGUCUGAGAGGACGAUCAGCCACACUGGGACUGAGACACGGCCCAGACUCCUACGGGAGGCAGCAGUGGGGAAUUUUGGACAAUGGGGGCAACCCUGAUCCAGCAAUGCCGCGUGAGUGAAGAAGGCCUUCGGGUUGUAAAGCUCUUUUGUCAGGGAAGAAACAGCAGCUCUAACACAGUAUGCGAAUGACGGUACCUGAAGAAUAAGCACCGGCUAACUACGUGCCAGCCGCCGCCGUAA
rnacentral:rRNA from 1 species